ensembl:lncRNA
UCCCUGAGGCUUUGGCUGGGGUGAGCGGCAUGUCCGGUGGUGACUAUCGGAAGCAAAGAAAUGUUCAGAAGAAUGUGAAUGUUGAUCUGUUUUGGGGUGCUAGAAGUCGAGUAGAUAUUUCUCAUCGCUGGCUUGAGCCUGCUGCAUUCGGUGUAACUCACAGCCAGAGAGCAGAACAGGGCCAGCUGUGUACUGCACCUCUGUCAGCUGGGAAGAAAAAUCCCAGUCUGAUACAGACUAAUCUUUCCUGCCCUUCUCAGCCGCUCCGGGACACCACCAGCCAGCUCUCCAAUUCCUGCUUCCAGCAGCAGAAUAAUCUCUGCUCGAGACUGCAGCAGCACAGCUCUAAGGAUUUGGCUUAUAGGACUCCCCGUCUUGCUUUGUCAGUGCUCCCUGCUGUGAAUCUCCCUYGGAGACACCCUUGCCUUUAUGCUGAUAGUUUAGAAGGAAGAGGGGAUGAGAGUGUUGGCCUCCCUCAGCAAUACCAUCAGAAAGCAAAGGCAGGUGGUAGCUGCUCCGUACGUUCUGCUUGCCAUUGUUCAGAAAAAAGGAACAAGAAUAGUGAGUAUCCAGUGGAAAAGCAACAGUGCUGGUCUCUUGCUGCUUCUUGCGUGGCUCAUGGGAACCCCUCACUAGUCAAUACGCAUUUGCUAUCUCAUACUGUAGAUCCCCUUCUUGGGAACGAAUCAGCAGAGUGUCUCUCUUUAAGGAGCUCCAGUGAAGGUGUGAACUCUUGUUGUCGUGGUUCAGCCCUGACCUUGGGAGAUCUCAGUCCAUCUAGUCUGGUGGAGUCUUUUCAUAGCACUGCCUCCCUUCAGUCUCUUUUGCAGUCCUCACAGACUUCUGCCAGCUUGCACUGUUCAAUCCAGAGGCUUAAACAAGAAACUGUUUUGAUGGGGAUAUGGGGCUCUCUCCCUCUGGAGCCCACGUCUUCUCCAGUGAGUGGCAGUCUGUGCUUUGCUCCUGAUGAUUCAGCUCCCGGCAUCCUGAGCACAGGAGAGCAGCUAGCUGGAGUGAAUACUAGUGCUGCUCAGGCAAGAUUGAAAUGGGGUGUCCCAUUUGCUAAAGACUGGAGCCUCAGUGCAGUGUCAAGGGACUUCUGUCAUGCUGAACCUGCCUCUGUCUCUCACAGAUACGGACAUACUGACUCACACACAUGGAGAACCAAACUUUCAGGUGACAUCCAGCGAGAAACCCUCUCUGCUGCUGUGGGCUCUGGCUGGCUGGUGGAUACAGAAGCAGGUUCUUCCUAUAAUUGCUCCCCUUAUUUCAGAUACCAGUCCCAGGCAAAGCCAGCUCUGGAAACUGGAGGUCUUUAUGUUUACACAAAAAGUCAUUCCCCUGAAAAGGUACUUAAAGGAGAGAAGACAUUUGAUGGGGCACCCCCAUGUGCUGUAUCUUGGAAAAAAGACCUUCCAUCCAGCCUAUAUCCAGAAGGUCUGCAGGUGUCACUGGAGACACAGUAUGAGGGUCCUCGGAUGGAUGUUGGUGUAGCCAUGUGUGGGACUCCGAGGGAAGUGUGCAUGAGAGUCACUUCUGGAGAUAAAGAGUUUGGGUCAGUCCAGCAGCUUAGUAUUAAAUCUGUAGAAGUCAGCGCCUUUGAACCUCAUAGUGAGUCCAGCAAGGAGUCGGAAGAGGUGUGUGACUCUAGAUUGCAAGCAGCCAGAAGAAUGGCUGUGGUGGACAGCAGCAAGUCUAGCCCUUUCAGUAUUCAGGUUGAGACAGGCUUUGGUGAAUUUUCUGACAUAGACGGUGUGAAUGYGAGCAGAGAGGGAGGGAGAAACAAACACUCUUGCCAGAACAGCUGGAGGAAUUGGGAACCUGACACCAAUCUGGACCAGUCUGAAGGGCCUUCUGUGAAGAGGAGUGCCAACAAACCACAGUGUUGUGAAGAAGGCAGCCAGAGGCAGGAAACUGUGUCCAGAGAGGUGAGGGUGUGCUCACUGCAUAGCAUCCC